GGCGGCGCCCUGUGGAGGAGGCCCGGAGCACGUGGGUUGGGGACCUGCGGAUCCCUGCCUGUCCUCGGCCUACCGCGACCAGCAGGCACUCCAGGUCAGACCGGUGCGGGGCGCUGCGGCCCAGUUCCCUAGUAGGAGGACGUGACUCGAGGAACCCGAGGACGGAGCGGGGAGUCCUGGCUAGAGGGUGGGGACUAGGGAGGUUGCCUGGUCACUGUGGCACUCCGCUGCGGUGCAUCCUCCGGCCCAGCAAAGGUGCAGUCUGGGAAGAAGGCGUCAGUAUCACCCAAAGGAGAGGAGAGGGGACUUGGCACGCCUCAGGAAGAAAAAAGGGAAGACUCUCAGGACCACCAAAUAAGCAACCGGGAAACCACGUACCAUGGACAGUGCUCGGGGAAUUUAGUAAGGUUUUUUGGAGGUAACUUUAUGUGUAACUAGAAUAAGAGUAGCUUACAUUUAAGUGCCAGGAGCAGGACUUUGCAUACUUCAGGUUCAAUUUUCUUAACAGCUCUGAAGUGGGUAUUUUUAUUCAUUUUCAGAUGAGAUGAGGAAGUCAAGCUUGGGGAAAGUUAGGCUUAUCUUGCCCCUGGCACACAGACAGGGUGGCAGACCCUGCCAUAGAUCUGGUCUGCCACAGGCCCCGGCAGCUCCUGCCUCUCACCCCUCCAGUUGUCUUUUUAUUAACUCCUGCCAGCUACUCUAGCAGGGAAGAGGAAAAAAAUUAAAAGUGCAAAGAGCUCUGUAGUUGGGUUCAAAUGGAGGAAGCCGGCGUUGGCAGUAGCUGCUGAGGCCUGAGAAGGUACACGAAGGCUUCCCUGAGAAGAGAAACUUGAAAAAACUGAGCUUGAAGAUUAGAGAGCCUGGGGAGGAGAGGGGCUCAUUUAGCUGGUAAGCAAAAUCCAGUGGGACUCUAAGUCAUUCAGCAAAUCUUCAUCAAGAAAGAAUAGCAAGUAAUUCAUGUUUAGUUUAAGGGGAUAUAUGUGGGGUGGGGAAGGGAAAGGGUAUGAGUAACAGAGAUGAGGUUGGGAAGACAAGUUGGUAGCAAUAGAUUCUUGUAGGAGUUUGGACAUUAUCCUAAGUGCAGUAUGAAACCAUGAUGGGGUUUCAAGUGAGCAAUGAUGAUUACAUUUGCAUUUUAGAAAAAUAUAUCUGCAAUAUGAAAGACAAAUUGAAGGAAGAAACAGAGGCAGGAGACAUUUGGAGGGAGGAAAAGGAAAGCCAAAAUAAAGUAACUGAUUCCAGGCCUGUGCCUAGGGUGUGAAAUACCUUGAGCCUGGUGCUGGCUGGGGGUUUCGCUGGUGGAGGUGGCGGUGUGCAGGGGAGAUGGUGUUGGGAGUGGGUUUAAGUGCACAAAUUCCAGACUUAGUCCUGGGUUCAAAACCUGUUUAUGCCUUUUUCUAGCUAUGAGGCCUUGGCUUCUUCUGAAACUCAUUUUAGUUAAGGGGGUGUUGGGGGUGGGGGGCUCAGCCCAGAGACCACAACUUAGUCAGUAUGUGUUUUCUUCCUGCUUCCCAUCCAGGGCUCCGCCUUACUCCUGGGGGUUCCAGGGAUCUGGCAGAGAAAGAAGCCCAGAUUCACCAGUGAUGGCUCCCGAACAUCCUUUGCAAAUACUACUUAGGACAGAUGGACUGAAGAGGGAAGGUGGAACUGAGGAUCCUGAAUCCAUUUGGAGGCAGAGAGGGGCCAACAGGGUGUCUGAAGGGAGCAAAGGCAUCGAAGUUUUGGGAGCACCUCGAAGUGGGGCAGUGAAUGCAGAUGAGUGGAAGCACACACACACGUUUCUCCUCCUUGACCCGGAAUGAGACAGCCUUCAGAGAGCUCUUGCCAGCUCCUCACUCUAGCCUGGGUGAAGGGGGCACCUGUGCCAAAGCAGGCAGGCACACAGGCAGAUUGGAAGGAAUUUCUGUCUGCAGCGUUACAUGCCUGAGGGAUCCCGCCCUCAGCCCUCUCUGUCUCUCAUGGUACUCUCAUCCACCCCACCCCCCCCCACCCCCGCUGCAGCUCCUGCCUCUGUGCUGACAGCUCUGUCAGUCCAGCCCAGACCUCCCCUGGCAGUUCCAGACCAGCCGAUCCCACUGCCUCCUGACAGCCACUCUGGAUGUCCCACCGUUCCUCAGACUUGGCACCCUUUCCAAAUCCACGCCCCCAUCUCAUUUCCAAGGAAGAAAAAUCAUAGAGGCCUCCCCAGUACAAAUGCAGACGUGGGAAACAAGGUUUCAAAGGAUCUCCAGAAAAGCUCAAGGAUAGCACUGGCCUUUUGGAGGUGGCUUGGGGUGGUGUGGGAGGCAAGGUCAGCACUAACUUUUCCUUUCUUCCCUACGAAGGUGUGGACUUCUUAGCUUCCUGUCCUUUUCAUACCAUUUGCCAAAUUGAAGUUAAAUAAUUAUUACUGUAAUUGCUUAUUUUUUGUCUGUCUUUCCCAGUUUAAGCUUCUCAAGGGCAGGGAUCAUGUCCGUUUUGCCUCUGUAUCCUUGGCAUCUGUCAUAUAAUCAGUAUCUGACAUAUAACAGGUGCUUAAUAAAUAUUUGUUUGAAUUAA